AUAGCGUAUAUUAAAGUUGUUGCGGUUAAAAAGCUCGUAGUUGAAUCUGUGUCGCACACCGUCGGUUCACCGCUCGCGGUGUUUAACUGGCGUGAUGUGGGACGUCCUACCGGUGGGCUUAGCCUCGCGAGGGGCGGCCCAACUAAUAUCCCGUCGCGGUGCUCUUUACUGAGUGUCGAGUCGGGCCGGUACGUUUACUUUGAACAAAUUAGAGUGCUUAAAGCAGGCUAUCCUCGCCUGAAUACUGCGUGCAUGGAAUAAUGGAAUAGGACCUCGGUUCUAUUUUGUUGGUUUUCGGAACCCCGAGGUAAUGAUUAAUAGGGACAGAUGGGGGCAUUCGUAUUGCGACGUUAGAGGUGAAAUUCUUGGAUCGUCGCAAGACGGACAAAAG
rnacentral:rRNA from 1 species